AUUGAACGCUGGCGGCAGGCCUAACACAUGCAAGUCGAGCGGAUGAAGGGAGCUUGCUCCUGGAUUCAGCGGCGGACGGGUGAGUAAUGCCUAGGAAUCUGCCUGGUAGUGGGGGAUAACGUCCGGAAAUGGGCGCUAAUACCGCAUACGUCCUGAGGGAGAAAGUGGGGGAUCUUCGGACCUCACGCUAUCAGAUGAGCCUAGGUCGGAUUAGCUAGUUGGUGGGGUAAAGGCCUACCAAGGCGACGAUCCGUAACUGGUCUGAGAGGAUGAUCAGUCACACUGGAACUGAGACACGGUCCAGACUCCUACGGGAGGCAGCAGUGGGGAAUAUUGGACAAUGGGCGAAAGCCUGAUCCAGCCAUGCCGCGUGUGUGAAGAAGGUCUUCGGAUUGUAAAGCACUUUAAGUUGGGAGGAAGGGCGGUAAGUUAAUACCUUGCUGUUUUGACGUUACCAACAGAAUAAGCACCGGCUAACUUCGUG
rnacentral:rRNA from 1 species